AGUGAACGCUGGCGGUAGGCCUAACACAUGCAAGUCGAACGGCAGCACAGUAAGAGCUUGCUCUUACGGGUGGCGAGUGGCGGACGAGUGAGGAAUACAUCGGAAUCUACUUUUUCGUGGGGGAUAACGUAGGGAAACUUACGCUAAUACCGCAUACGACCUACGGGUGAAAGCAGGGGAUCUUCGGACCUUGCGCGAUUGAAUGAGCCGAUGCCGGAUUAGCUAGUUGGCGGGGUAAAGGCCCACCAAGGCGACGAUCCGUAGCUGGUCUGAGAGGAUGAUCAGCCACACUGGAACUGAGACGCGGUCCAGACUCCUACGGGAGGCAGCAGUGGGGAAUAUUGGACAAUGGGCGCAAGCCUGAUCCAGCCAUACCGCGUGGGUGAAGAAGGCCUUCGGGUUGUAAAGCCCUUUUGUUGGGAAAGAAAAGCAGCAGGUUAAUACCCCGCUGUUCUGACGGUACCCAAAGAAUAAGCACCGGCUAACUUCGUG
rnacentral:rRNA from 1 species